rnacentral:rRNA from 1 species
GACGAACGCUGGCGGCGUGCUUAACACAUGCAAGUCGAACGGGUCUGCCCUGUUUUUUGCGGGGUGGGUCAGUGGCGAACGGGUGAGUAACACGUGAGUAACCUGCCCCUCACUUCUGGAUAACCGCUUGAAAGGGUGGCUAAUACGGGGUGUUCUGGCUGUGCCGCAUGGUGUGGCUGGGAAAGAUUCACUUUUGUGGUGUUUUGGUGGGGGAUGGGCUCGCGGCCUAUCAGCUUGUUGGUGGGGUGAUGGCCUGCCAAGGCUUUGACGGGUAGCCGGCCUGAGAGGGUGGGCGGUCACACUGGGACUGAGAUACGGCCCAGACUCCUGCGGGAGGCAGCAGUGGGGGGUAUUGCACAAUGGGCGGAAGCCUGAUGCAGCGACGUCGCGUGGGGGAUGGGGGCCUUCGGGUUGUGAACCUCUUUCGCCGGUGAAGAAGGUCCUGCUCUUUGUGGUGGGGUUGACGGUAGCCGGGUUAUGAAGCGCCGGCUAACUACGUG